UGGGGAAUAUUGCACAAUGGGCGCAAGCCUGAUGCAGCAACGCCGCGUGAGGGAUGACGGCCUUCGGGUUGUAAACCUCUUUUAGCAGGGAAGAAGCGAAAGUGACGGUACCUGCAGAAAAAGCGCCGGCUAACUACGUGCCAGCAGCCGCGGUAAUACGUAGGGCGCAAGCGUUAUCCGGAAUUAUUGGGCGUAAAGAGCUCGUAGGCGGUUUGUCGCGUCUGCUGUGAAAUCCGGAGGCUCAACCUCCGGCCUNCAGUGGGUACGGGCAGACUAGAGUNCGGUAGGGGAGAUUGGAAUUCCUGGUGUAGCGGUGGAAUGCGCAGAUAUCAGGAGGAACACCGAUGGCGAAGGCAGAUCUCUGGGCCGUAACUGACGCUGAGGAGCGAAAGGGUGGGGAGCAAACAGGCUUAGAUAUCCCUGGUAGUCCACCCCGUAAACGUUGGGAACUAGUUGUGGGGUCCAUUCCACGGAUUCCGUGAUCGCANCUAACGCA
rnacentral:rRNA from 1 species